AGAGUUUGAUCAUGGCUCAGAUUGAACGCUGGCGGCAUGCCUUACACAUGCAAGUCGAACGCGAAAAGGGGGCAACCCCUGAGUAGAGUGGCGAACGGGUGAGUAAUACAUCGGAACGUGUCCAGUAGCGGGGGAUAACCUCUCGAAAGAGAGGCUAAUACCGCAUACGACCUACGGGUGAAAGAGGGGGAUCGUAAGACCUCUCACUAUUGGAGCGGCCGAUGUCGGAUUAGCUAGUUGGUGGGGUAAUGGCCUACCAAGGCGACGAUCCGUAGCUGGUCUGAGAGGACGACCAGCCACACUGGAACUGAGACACGGUCCAGACUCCUACGGGAGGCAGCAGUGGGGAAUUUUGGACAAUGGGCGAAAGCCUGAUCCAGCCAUGCCGCGUGAGUGAAGAAGGCCUUCGGGUUGUAAAGCUCUUUCGGCGGGGACGAAAAGGUGCGUGCUAACACCAUGCAUCCAUGACGGUACCCGCAGAAGAAGCCCCGGCUAACUUCGUGCCAGCCGCCGCGGUAAUAC
rnacentral:rRNA from 1 species